ensembl:misc_RNA Metazoa_SRP Metazoan signal recognition particle RNA
GCCAGGCAUGGUGGCGCGUGCCUGUAGUCCCAGCUACUUGGGAGGCUGAGCUGGGAGGAUUGCUUGAGCCCGAGAAGUCGAGUCUGCAGUGAGCUAUGAUCAUGCUACUGCACUCCAGCUUGGGUGACAGAGCGAGAUCCUGUCUCAA